AGGGCAUCUGGAGAGAUGCUUUACAUGCUGUUGAGACGUCACUGGUGUUCCUUCUGAAGCCACCAUGAAGCUGAGCAUUGUGAUCUCCCUCUGCGCUCUACUUUACCUCUCUGGUCACACUUUGGCCAUGUCAGUCCCGUGGAUCGGGGUUGAUUGUCGAGGCUACGGUUCUCAUUGCACUGAGGAGUACAACCCUCUCUGUGGGUCCGACGGCGUC